rnacentral:rRNA from 3 species
UUCGGUGGUCAUAGCGUGAGGGAAACGCCCGGUUACAUUCCGAACCCGGAAGCUAAGCCUCACAGCGCCGAUG